rnacentral:rRNA from 1 species
UCCUACGGGAGGCAGCAGUGGGGAAUUUUGGACAAUGGGCGAAAGCCUGAUCCAGCAAUGCCGCGUGUGUGAAGAAGGCCUUCGGGUUGUAAAGCACUUUUGUCCGGAAAGAAAUCCUUGGCUCUAAUACAGUCGGGGGAUGACGGUACCGGAAGAAUAAGCACCGGCUAACUACGUGCCAGCAGCCGCGGUAAUACGUAGGGUGCGAGCGUUAAUCGGAAUUACUGGGCGUAAAGCGUGCGCAGGCGGUUUGCUAAGACCGAUGUGAAAUCCCCGGGCUCAACCUGGGAACUGCAUUGGUGACUGGCAGGCUAGAGUAUGGCAGAGGGGGGUAGAAUUCCACGUGUAGCAGUGAAAUGCGUAGAGAUGUGGAGGAAUACCGAUGGCGAAGGCAGCCCCCUGGGCCAAUACUGACGCUCAUGCACGAAAGCGUGGGGAGCAAACAGGAUUAGAUACCCUGGUAGUCCACGCCCUAAACGAUGUCAACUAGUUGUUGGGGAUUCAUUUCCUUAGUAACGUAGCUAACGCGUGAAGUUGACCGCCUGGGGAGUACGGUCGCAAGAUUAAAACUCAAAGGAAUUGACGGGGAUCCGCACAAGCGGUGGAUGAUGUGGAUUAAUUCGAUGCAACGCGAAAAACCUUACCUACCCUUGACAUGGUCGGAAUCCCGCUGAGAGGUGGGAGUGCUCGAAAGAGAACCGGCGCACAGGUGCUGCAUGGCUGUCGUCAGCUCGUGUCGUGAGAUGUUGGGUUAAGUCCCGCAACGAGCGCAACCCUUGUCCUUAGUUGCUACGCAAGAGCACUCUAAGGAGACUGCCGGUGACAAACCGGAGGAAGGUGGGGAUGACGUCAAGUCCUCAUGGCCCUUAUGGGUAGGGCUUCACACGUCAUACAAUGGUCGGAACAGAGGGUUGCCAACCCGCGAGGGGGAGUUAAUCCCAGAAAACCGAUCGUAGUCCGGAUUGCACUCUGCAACUCGAGUGCAUGAAGCUGGAAUCGCUGGUAAUCGCGGAUCAGCAUGCCGCGG